rnacentral:rRNA from 2 species
UUGGACCUGAUAUCAGGCAAGAUUACCCGCUGAACUUAAGCAUAUCAAUA